rnacentral:misc_RNA from 1 species
AAGUCGUAACAAGGUUUCCGUAGGUGAACCUGCGGAAGGAUCAUCAUUGAACGUGGUGUUUCUACCCUUUGUGCCCUGUUUGUGGCUUUGACGCCAUAUUUUUUAUGAUUUUCAACGCCUGAGCCUGAUCUGCUUAAAAGCUAAUUACACACAACUUUUAACAACGGAUCUCUUGGUUCUC